rnacentral:rRNA from 1 species
AUUGAACGCUGGCGGCAUGCCUUACACAUGCAAGUCGAACGGCAGCACGGGUGCUUGCACCUGGUGGCGAGUGGCGCACGGGUGAGUAAUACAUCGGAACAUGUCCUGUAGUGGGGGAUAGCCCGGUGAAAGCCGGAUUAAUACCGCAUACGAUCUACGGAUGAAAGCGGGGGCCCUUCGGGCCUCGCGCUUUGGGGUUGGCCGAUGGCUGAUUAGCUAGUUGGUGGGGUAAAGGCCUACCAAGGCGACGAUCAGUAGCUGGUCUGAGAGGACGACCAGCCACACUGGGACUGAGACACGGCCCAGACUCCUACGGGAGGCAGCAGUGGGGAAUUUUGGACAAUGGGCGAAAGCCUGAUCCAGCAAUGCCGCGUGUGUGAAGAAGGCCUUCGGGUUGUAAAGCACUUUUGUCCGGAAAGAAAUCCUUGGCCCUAAUACGGUCGGGGGAUGACGGUACCGGAAGAAUAAGCACCGGCUAACUACGUG